UUAACUAUUAUAUAGUACUCAGACUUCAUAUACAAACAGAGUUUAGGUCCUCUGGCAAGCGCUCGCCGGCCGGAGCCAGCAGCCCGAGGGCAGGCCUGCCAAAGCAACAAAGUGUAAUAAACAAAGGGUGGUAGGUUACCCGGGAGGCCUUGCGGCAACCCAGGCGACUACUGUAAUGAUCCUUCCGCAGGUUCACCUACGGAAA
rnacentral:misc_RNA from 1 species